UACGUAGGGUGCGAGCGUUAAUCGGAAUUACUGGGCGUAAAGCGUGCGCAGGCGGCGCUGUAAGACAGGUGUGAAAUCCCCGGGCUUAACCUGGGAAUGGCGCUUGUGACUGCAGUGCUCGAGUGCGGCAGAGGGGGGUGGAAUUCCACGUGUAGCAGUGAAAUGCGUAGAGAUGUGGAGGAACACCGAUGGCGAAGGCAGCCCCCUGGGUCGACACUGACGCUCAUGUACGAAAGCGUGGGGAGCAAAC
rnacentral:rRNA from 1 species